AUUGAACGCUGGCGGCAUGCUUUACACAUGCAAGUCGAACGGUAACAGGGUGCUUGCACCGCUGACGAGUGGCGAACGGGUGAGUAAUGCAUCGGAAUCUACCGUGUAAUGGGGGAUAACUCCGCGAAAGCCGGAUUAAUACCGCAUACGCCCUGAGGGGGAAAGUGGGGGACCGAAAGGCCUCACGUUAUACGAGCAGCCGAUGUCUGAUUAGCUAGUUGGUGAGGUAAAGGCUCACCAAGGCGUCGAUCAGUAGCGGGUCUGAGAGGAUGAUCCGCCACACUGGGACUGAGACACGGCCCAGACUCCUACGGGAGGCAGCAGUGGGGAAUUUUGGACAAUGGGCGCAAGCCUGAUCCAGCCAUGCCGCGUGUCUGAAGAAGGCCUUCGGGUUGUAAAGGACUUUUGUCCGGGAGCAAAUCCUAGUGGUUAAUAACCGCUGGGUCUGAGAGUACCGGAAGAAUAAGCACCGGCUAACUACGUG
rnacentral:rRNA from 1 species